AUAUCCAUAUGGACCCCUUGAAGAAGAAUUUGAACCCUCACAUGAGCUUUUGCCCACAGUUUGCUUCCCCAUUUUGGAAAGCUGAGCGUGAAAAAUUUUGGGGGUAUGGUCGGUGAGUAAUGGAAAUCGACAAGAUCUCAGAAUUCCUUUUUGUGAAGUAACAACACCCUUGAUCAGUUCCUCCUGCUAGAUCCUAUCAGCAUCAAUCAGCAGAACCCAAGAACCCGACUCAGUCGCCAGGAGAAGCAACAAGCUGUGAAGGAAUGAUCUCGAAAUUUAUGCUACUUGCGCUGGU
rnacentral:misc_RNA from 1 species